CGUAACGCGUAGGAAUCUGCCUAUUAGUGGGGGACAACAUGGUGAAAACCAUGCUAAUACCGCAUACGCCCUACGGGGGAAAGGAGGGGAUCUUCGGACCUUUCGCUAUGAGAUGAGCCUGCGUAAGAUUAGCUUGUUGGUGGGGUAAUGGCCUACCAAGGCGACGAUCUUUAACUGGUCUGAGAGGAUGAUCAGUCACACUGGAACUGAGACACGGCCCAGACUCC
rnacentral:rRNA from 1 species